rnacentral:snoRNA from 1 species
AAUCUAUGGUGCGGGCAUUUUUGAAUCAAUAUUUUGAAACGUUCCCAUGCCUCAUAAAAACUUUUGCCCUCUAUCUGUCUAAAAACAACAAUCUCUCACCUUACUUGGACU